rnacentral:rRNA from 1 species
CUACGGGAGGCAGCAGUAGGGAAUAUUGGACAAUGGGCGCAAGCCUGAUCCAGCCAUGCCGCGUGAGUGAAGAAGGCCCUCGGGUUGUAAAGCUCUUUUGUCCGGAAAGAAAAGCAUUGGGUUAAUACCCCGAUGUCCUGACAGUACCGGAAGAAUAAGCACCGGCUAACUUCGUGCCAGCAGCCGCGGUAAU